rnacentral:rRNA from 1 species
UUGAAUGGCCGCAGUAUUUUGACUGUGCAAAGGUAGCAUAAUCAUUAGUUUCUUAAUUAGAAGCUGGAAUGAAGGGUUGAACGAAAAAAUAACUGUCUCUAUAUAAUUAAAAAAAAAUUUAUUUUUAAGUUAAAAAGCUUAAAUUUUUUUAAAAGACGAGAAGACCCUAUAGAGUUUUAUAUUUAUUUUUAAUAAUUAUAUUUAGAAAAUUUAUUUGUUAUUAAAUAUAAAUAUUUUAUUGGGGUGAUAAAAAAAUUUAAAAAACUUUUUGGAAUAAAAACAUUAAUUUAUGAUUUAAUGAUCCAUGAAUAUGAUUAUAAGAUUAAAUUACCUUAGGGAUAACAGCGUAAUUUCUUUUUAGAGUUCUAAUCGAUAAAGAAGAUUGCGACCUCGAUGUUGGAUUAAAAUUUAAUUUUGGUGUAGAAGCUAAAGAAUUUAGGUCUGUUCGACCUUUAAAAUUUUACAUGAUCUGAGUUUAAACCGGUGUGAGCCAGGUUGGUUUCUAUCUUUAAUUAAAAAAAAUAUUUUAGUACGAAAGGACCAAAUAUUUAUAAAAGUUAUUAUAUUUGAUUAAUAAUUA